AGGAGGUUCAUCUACCUGAGGACAAAGACAGAUCUAUUGUCUGGGAUCCAACUCUGCACAGAUGGGUUAACAAAACUGAGCCCAAGGCUGAGAACAAGUGUGUACCACCACCUCCACCGAUGGGGACAUAUGGAUAUCAGGGGAACACUGGCAGUGUCCCCAAAGGAGUGAAUCCUUACUCUAUGAAAGCAGCAGGUCUAUGGGGCAGCAGAUACCCUACAAUGAAUUACAAUGAUAGGACCAACUCAAAGCCUCCAAGCCAUGGGCCUGGACUGCUUCCUAGACAGCUCUCUGGCUUGCUCCCUCCUUCACACUUUGACCUCAUGGCACCAAUGGUUGUGCCACCUGACACUCUACCCUACUGAGGCCAUUUGCCCAGAGUGGAUUUGCCAUACAUAGAUUUUUUCAGCAUUAAAAAACUUCAGCAUUAAA